AUUGAACGCUGGCGGCAGGCCUAACACACGCAAGUCGAACGAGUGGCGGACGGGUGAGUAAUGUCUGGGAAACUGCCUGAUGGAGGGGGAUAACUACUGGAAACGGUAGCUAAUACCGCAUACCAUCGGAUGUGCCCAGAUGGGAUUAGCUAGUAGGUGGGGUAAUGGCGCACCUAGGCGACGAUCCCUAGCUGGUCUGAGAGGAUGACCAGCAACACUGGAAUGGAGACACGGUCCAGAUUCCUACGGGAGGCAGCAGGGGGGAAUAUUGAACAAUGGGAGCAAGCCGGAUGCAGCCAUGCCGCGUGUAUGAAGAAGGCCGUCGGGUUGUAAAGUACUUUCAGCGGGGAGGCGUUACCCGAAGAAGAAGCACCGGCUAACUCCGUGCCAGCAGCCGCGGUAAUAC
rnacentral:rRNA from 1 species